CCCGCCGAUCCGCCGCCGCUAGCUCGGCCGUCUCCUCAGCGCUAGCGGCGGGCCCCGACCCUCCUCCUGCGGCGGCUUUCUGGCUCACCGAGCGCCGGCAGGGGUGGGGGUGGGGGUGCUGGUCGCCGAGGUAAUCAGUAAACCCAACAAUAACCUAGAAUCUCGGAGUAGCCAAAUCCUGUGUAAACUGAAGCUUUGACUUCUUACCUUCGAAAUCUUGAGAAUAAAGAGAUAGAGACAGCCAGCGAGAGAGGGAACACAAGCAGAGGGAGUGGGAGAGGAAGAA